UGAAUACGAGACGCUAAGGCGUCGAAGUAGUGUAUGUCAUACUUCCAAGAAAAGCUUGCACUGUCAUAGAUAAAAAACGCCUGUACCAUAACCGACACAGGUGGGUAGGUAGAGUAUACUAAGGGGCGCGAGAUAACUCUCUCUAAGGAACUCGGCAAAAUAACUCCGUAACUUCGGGAGAAGGAGUGCCUUAUUCGUAAGGUUGCAAUAACAAGAUCCAAGCAACUGUUUAUCAAAAACACAGGUCUCCGCUAAGUCGUAAGACGAUGUAUGGGGGCUGACGCCUGCCCAGUGCCAGAAGGUUAAAGAAGUAGGUUAGCAAUUGCGAAGCUGAUAACUGAAGCCCUGGUGAACGGCGGCCGUAACAAUAACGGUCCUAAGGUAGCGAAAUUCCUUGUCGGGUAAGUUCCGACCCGCACGAAAGGCGUAAUGAUUUGGAUACUGUCUCGGAGAGGGGCUCGGUGAAAUAGACUUGUCUGUGAAGAUGCGGACUACCUGCACCAGGACAGAAAGACCCUAUGAAGCUUUACUGUAACUUGAAAUUGAAAUUGGACUUUAUUCGCGCAGUAUAGGUGGGAGGCGUUGAUUAUAAUCUUGUGGGAUUAUUGGAGCCAUCAGUGAGAUACCACUCUUGUAAUGUUAGAUUUCUAACUUUGAAUCAUUAUCUGGUCAAAGAACAGUUUCAGGCGGGCAGUUUGACUGGGGCGGUCGCCUCCUAAACGGUAACGGAGGCGUACAAAGGUUUCCUCUGAACGGUUAGAAAUCGUAUCUAGAGUGUAAAGGCAUAAGGAAGCUUGACUGUGAGACCUACAAGUCGAGCAGGGACGAAAGUCGGUCUUAGUGAUCUGACGGUACUGAGUGGAAAGGCCGUCACUCAACGGAUAAAAGUUACUCUAAGGAUAACAGGCUGAUCUCCCCCAAGAGUUCACAUCGACGGGGAGGUUUGGCACCUCGAUGUCGGCUCAUCGCAUCCUGGGGCGGUAGUACGUCCCAAGGGUUGGGCUGUUCGCCCAUGAAAGCGGUACGCGAGCUGGGUUCAGAACGUCGUGAGACAGUUCGGUCCAUAUCCGGUGUAGGCGUUAGAAUAUUGAGAGGAGCCUUCUUUAGUACGAGAGGACCGAGAAGGACAUACCUCUGGUGUACCAGUUAUCGUGCCAACGGUAAACGCUGGGUAGCUAUGUAUGGAGUGGAUAACCGCUGAAAGCAUCUAAGUGGGAAGCCCACCUCAAGAUAAG
rnacentral:rRNA from 1 species